rnacentral:rRNA from 1 species
GAUGAACGCUGGCGGCGUGCCUAAUACAUGCAAGUCGAGCGAAUGGAUUAAGAGCUUGCUCUUAUGAAGUUAGCGGCGGACGGGUGAGUAACACGUGGGUAACCUGCCCAUAAGACUGGGAUAACUCCGGGAAACCGGGGCUAAUACCGGAUAACAUUUUGAACCGCAUGGUUCGAAAUUGAAAGGCGGCUUCGGCUGUCACUUAUGGAUGGACCCGCGUCGCAUUAGCUAGUUGGUGAGGUAACGGCUCACCAAGGCAACGAUGCGUAGCCGACAUGGGAGGGUGAUCGGCCACACUGGGACUGAGACACGGCCCAGACUCCGACGGGAGGCAGCAGUAGGGAAUCUUCCGCAAUGGACGAAAGUCUGACGGAGCAACGCCGCGUGAGUGAUGAAGGCUUUCGGGUCGUAAAACUCUGUUGUUAGGGAAGAACAAGUGCUAGUUGAAUAAGCUGGCACCUUGACGGUACCUAACCAGAAAGCCACGGCUAACUACGUGCCAGCCGCCGCCGUAA